CCCCCGAGCCGUCGUUUUUCUGCUGAUCGUAAAGGAUGAUACCAUUUUCCGCGUAAGUUUUAAAUUCCACCUCGAUGCUGAAGGUGUGGUAAGCUUUCAGACGAUUCAUUCUGACGAAGCUCUUGCCGUCGAAAGAGGGAAGAUCGUAGUCCCUCUUGUCUAUUUCCUCGUCGCACAAGAAACCCGUGUAAUUUGGUCGGCAGACGCAAACGAAUGUCGCACUUGGAAGGUCGACGCACGUCGAUGACAUGUGACAAGGAUAAGACAGACAGGCUCGAAACUCCUCCGUGGGCGAGACGGGAACGUAGUUGGCUGAAAACGGAAAGAAUAAGGCGUCUCGUUUCAACCACCGACCGAAACAUUCCUGUCUGUCGCUGGUCUCCGCGUAACCCUUCGAGCAGAUGCAGCCUCCGUUUAUACACUCGCUGUUAGGAAUUGUGCAAUCCUUGUCGUCGCUACAUAAAUCGCCAAGAAGUGCCGUAACGACACGAAUCGUUGCUGGAGUAGGCCGAUAAGCUGCAGCCACCCCUAAAACGUGA
rnacentral:misc_RNA from 1 species